CAGUAGCCGCGGUAAUACGAAGGGGGCUAGCGUUGUUCGGAUUUACCGGGCGUAAAGGGCGCGUAGGCGGGCGAAUAAGUCAGGGGUGAAAUCCCAAGGCUCAACCUUGGAACUGCCUUUGAUACUGUUUGUCUUGAGUUCGAGAGAGGUAAGUGGAACUGCGAGUGUAGAGGUGAAAUUCGCAGAUAUUCGCAAGAACACCAGUGGCGAAGGCGGCUUACUGGCUCGAAACUGACGCUGAGGCGCGAAAGCGUGGGGAGCAAACAGGAUUAGAUACCCCAGUAGUCCCUGUCUCUUAUAC
rnacentral:rRNA from 1 species